AACGCUGGCGGCAGGCCUAACACAUGCAAGUCGAGCGGAUGAAAGGAGCUUGCUCCUGGAUUCAGCGGCGGACGGGUGAGUAAUGCCUAGGAAUCUGCCUGGUAGUGGGGGACAACGUUUCGAAAGGAACGCUAAUACCGCAUACGUCCUACGGGAGAAAGCAGGGGACCUUCGGGCCUUGCGCUAUCAGAUGAGCCUAGGUCGGAUUAGCUAGUUGGUGAGGUAAUGGCUCACCAAGGCGACGAUCCGUAACUGGUCUGAGAGGAUGAUCAGUCACACUGGAACUGAGACACGGUCCAGACUCCUACGGGAGGCAGCAGUGGGGAAUAUUGGACAAUGGGCGAAAGCCUGAUCCAGCCAUGCCGCGUGUGUGAAGAAGGUCUUCGGAUUGUAAAGCACUUUAAGUUGGGAGGAAGGGUUGUAGAUUAAUACUCUGCAAUUUUGACGUUACCGACAGAAUAAGCACCGGCAAUC
rnacentral:rRNA from 1 species